CGCAUGAGGAUCUAAUUCCUGGUUUUUGCAAAUUCUAUUACGUUACCUAGGAAUGUUCCAGUUUUUCUGUAGAAAUUCUUUGUUGGUGAAUUUUUUUCAAGUCUUACCCCUAGUUUCUAGUUUUGCUUUCCUAUCUUUGUGGUUUUUCAUACUGGAAGAGUUUUGAUCAUAGUUUUACCCCCUAGUCUCUAGUUUUACAAUUGCGUUGCUGUGCAUUUUUUUCCCUCUAUAAUCAAUGCUUUUCUAAGUGGGCAAGAAAUAAUAGUAAAAAGUGUCUCUAUUUAGAACUUAACCUACAAUUUUUUUUCUUUAAAGCAUUGCUGAUAUCAAAAUAGACCAUAUAUGCCAAUGAUUCUUGAAUAUCUUCUGAAUAUAAGCAAAGAUCAUUUAUUUUUCUUUUUUCGAACCUUUUGAUCUAAUUUCUCCAUACAACUUAUGUUUCUAUAUUUGUAGAUCUAUUAAUAUAAUCAAUCUAGGUUUUUUUUUUUUUUGUUCUUCAGGUUUGUUUAUGUGAGUAUAUUAUAUGACUUUGUUCUUUUGAGAUCUCUGCUUGUCCAUUAUUUUUUGUUGCUUUUUUUUUUUUUUUUUUGUCCCCCAAUCUUGGUUCCUCUGUUUUUUUAUUUUUCUUUUUUAUUUGAUAAGUCAUGUUGAUGGUGUUGGAUAAACAUUAGAUGGAUAUAAAAUGAGUGGUGGAAUGGAGAUUUAAAUCUUUUGUCAAUAUGAAUAUAUGAUUGAUUCUAUUCUAGGUUGUAUAACAAUGGAAAAGAGUAAUCAUGUCAUUUUUUUGUUUCAUUUUUGCUUCUUCAGUUUCCAUGACAUCUUUUCUGGCAACCUCUCCUAAUAUUUCUGAGAAAUUAAUGGUUAUGUGAAGGCUUGGGAUGAAAAGAAGGUCGAGUUGGGAACUCCAUCACAGAAAUGUUUCCUUCCCUUUCUCAUCGGCAUGCCAAACUGGUAAAUUUUGAUUCGACUUAUUUCCCAUUAAAUAUUUAAUCUUAUUUAUAUUGUAUCUUUUUUGGAGGCUCGAGAAGGGAUUCAUCAGCUCCAAAUAUUCAAAUUUGGGCCAGCAAUUAGCAAAUUGUUUAUAGCCUUCUCACCAUGGCUUUAGUUUGGUGAGGUGGAUAUUGAGGGUUCAUUGGUUGCUAGUAUUAUUUUAAACAAGAUAGAUUUGGUGACUGAGGCUGACUUGGAGGUGUUGACAAAGCGAAUUCAGCUUUUGGAUUUUUGGUGCACUUUUGUCAGCAUAUCAAUGGGAUGACACAGUUAAAGCUGGC